GACUCGUUAGCUCAGUGGUAGAGCAGCCGACUCCAGAUCGGCAGGUCGCGUGUUCGAUCCAUGCACGGGUCA